rnacentral:rRNA from 1 species
GAUGAACGCUGGCGGCGUGCCUAAUACAUGCAAGUCGAGCGAACAGACGAGGAGCUUGCUCCUCUGACGUUAGCGGCGGACGGGUGAGUAACACGUGGAUAACCUACCUAUAAGACUGGGAUAACUUCGGGAAACCGGAGCUAAUACCGGAUAAUAUAUUGAACCGCAUGGUUCAAUAGUGAAAGACGGUUUUGCUGUCACUUAUAGAUGGAUCCGCGCCGCAUUAGCUAGUUGGUAAGGUAACGGCUUACCAAGGCGACGAUGCGUAGCCGACCUGAGAGGGUGAUCGGCCAUACUGGAACGGAGACCCGGUCCGGACUUCUACGGGAGGCAGGAGUCGGGAAUCUUGCGGCAGGGGCGAAAGCCUGACGGAGCAACGCAGCGUGAGUGAUGAAGGUAUUCGGAGCGUAAAACUCUGUUAUUUGGGAAGAAGAAAUGUGUAAGUAAGUAUGCACGUCUUGACGGUACCUAAUCAGAAAGCAACGGCUAACUACGUG